rnacentral:lncRNA from 1 species
ACGCUUGUGAUUGUCCGCCAAAGGGCACCCCUUGAAAGGAGGCUCGUAACAAUCAGGGGACACCUGUGGAUGUCAUCAUCUUCCCUUCUCUGUUUUUAGGACCUAGACAAAAUUCAAGAAGAUAUCUCCGCUUCGGUGGGGUAUUACUUUUGACACUUCUAAUUGCAAUGAGACUUACAUUUUAGGAGAAGAGAUACAGACCAUUCAUGGGCUUCUCCCUGUCCCAUUAUCCUGAUCUAAGAUAAUGCCAAGCAACAUUUGGCGUUAUUCCCUGGGGACAGAAUCGGUCAUAAGUAGGUCGACUCCUACUCAUUUGAGGUAGCACCUGAGGUGACAACCCAGCAUUCUUGCUUUAUUUGAAGCAUAAAAAGCUUCAACUUUUUAAUAGAAAUGUUAAACAGCAAGCCAGCACUUUUUUUUCCAGGACAAGGACAAAUUCCCGUAAGAAUUUUGCAAACAUCACAUGUUCUCUUUCUCCUUGUUGCAAUAUGUAUAAUUUAUCUUCUGGUAUAACUUGCUUAAUAGUCACAGUUUGUUAAUUCCAUCUGCUUCCCAAGAGGAGGACAAAUUGUUACAUGGCAAUGCCUUGGGUUCUGAGAGUCCGCCAUAAGCCACAGCUGGUCAAGAACCUAACCAAGGGAGGGGCAGCAGUUUGUCCGCCUGCAAUAGAUCCUUAUUGUGAAGUUGAAUUUGCUUUCUCAUCCUCUGUCUGCCUCCCUCUGCACCUCCAUUCAUAAACUGACUGAAUGACGCAGUCGAACACAGCAUUGCCUCCCGCCGAGAAGCUCAUGUUUCUGUGAAGACUGAAGACAUACACCAAUAGGCCAGUGCCCAUGGGAUUUACCUGUCUUUCCUUGUACCCAUCGCCCAGGACUAGGUGGCCUUAAAGCAUGGUGGAAUGCCCUAUUGCAGGCCCAGUUACGGUGUGAGCUGAGAGACACCACCUCGUGAGACCCACUGGUCUGCAGAUUAUGGAGUAUGCUCUGAACCAGUAACAACCUGUGAUGCUAGUUCUCCUGGAGUCAAAUAUGUGGGUGUGGGAGCCAGUGCCGGGAUGUUGGAGUGGUACAUACUUAGUACUCAGGGGAGAACUGGGUCUUGCAAGAGAUGCUAAAAUGACUCCUCUGAAGUGGAAGCCGAGACUGUCACUGGCCACUGAGAAAACAGUUAAUAAGGAAGAUUAGGCCUGAGCUAACAUCUGCCACCAAUUCUCCACUUUUUGCUGAGGAAGACUGGCCCUGAGCUAACAUCCGUGCCCAUCUUCUCCAUUUUAUAUGUGGGAUGCCUACCACAGCAUGGCUUGCCAAGCGGUGCCAUGUCCCCGCACCCAGGAUCUGAACCAGUAAACCCCUGGCCACCGAAGCAGAUUGUGCGAACUUAACCGCUACACCACCUGGCCGACCGUAAUCCAUGUAUCUUGACGCUACUAUUUUUACCCAUGAGACUCUUUUCUGAUAUUCAGUGUGCUAACUGGCACUCUAGGGUUGAUGGGAAAUAAAAUAAGCUGAAGCUCUGGUCAUGGCCGAGCCUGGAGAAUGGCCCUGCUGGCUAAACAAGGGCUGAUAACCUCCACCCACUCCUCUCUCAGUGUGAAUUUCCAAUUGGAGCAACUGUCUGCCCCUGGAGCAGAGCUUAAACUAACACACAUCUAAUAUCACACUGUUUAUGCUCAAAUUCAGGAACUACAGCAAAGUAGAACCAGUGGAACAGCUAGGCAAAACGGACCCUGGAAGGCUGGCUGGUGGGCCUGGAAAGCCAGCCAGUGGACCAAUGGCUGGUGGUCUGCUGAAACAGCAGGCCUGGUUGAUGUCCUCUGGGGCACACACCCAGUCCAGCAGACACAGACCACAUCAGAACACAGUCUUCUCUGACCACCUGCAACCCAGCUUCAGAGCCACCUCUGACCUCCGCUUCCCCUUCCACAAUGCAGGGUGUUAUUAGGGACUCCUUUGGCAUGUAGAAGGAGAAACAGCUCCAGAGAUGCACGACCAAAUCUGCCCCUUUCUCUCUUUCUGCAGCCCCCAGACUUUCCACCCUGGACUCAGAGAUUCCUGCUCCUGGGUUCAACUCUUGCUGUCCUCCUUCCUGAAGUCCCUCUCGCGUACACCCUGGGGGCUAAGCAGGUGGUUUUCAACUCUCCACAAGUGCCCCCUCCCACCCCCAUCCAUUCCCUGAGCACAGAGUGCAGCAUAUAGUGAGACCUCAAAAAGUGUUCCUUAAUGUAAAAUUGCUCUCCUGGCUCUCACGUUAUCCUUAUACUGAGCUUAUGACAUGGGCAGAAAUUAGGAAACACACACACACACACACACACACUGGUGCAUGCACACCCACACAUGUGCUCUGGGCCUAUUUGCUGAAUUGCAUGGGGGCAGCUAAGCCUUAGUUUCCUUACCUGUAAAAUGGGCACCGUGUCAGAUUGUCUCCAUGUGCUAGUACAGGCCCACCCUUCGCCUUUCUUCAUUCUGCACUUGUCAGCGGAGGCUGACCUUUCCCAAGGCUUCAGCUCUCACCAAGUUCCAGGACCUUCCCUUGCUCCCCAGGUGGUUAAGGUUCCUGCUGCUAGUCCCAGUGCUUCACUAGCCUCUCUCAGCUCCUUUACCUCUGCCCACCACUUUGUAAUAGUCCCUUCAUCAAUCCCUUUUCAAGCACCCCUUUGAGCAUGCCCUCUGUUUCCAUCCAGGGCCGUGACUGCUACAAUUGGUACCAGAAUAGCCCUGGGAAACAAAUCCUUGGAUGGGACCUGGGUGGGGUUUCUCACACAUCUUGAUUAGUGCGUGGAUAGCCUCCUUGAUGGGGGUAAUGGACAGUGGUAAUCUGUGGCAUGCAGUGGCAUCACAGUUACUUCGUGACAGGUGGUGGCAAGAGAUGGACUGGUAAGAUGCUGGGAGAUCAAGUAGCUAUGACACUUAGUCACUAUGGUGACAGUAGUGAUUAUAGACUGCAGUGGCCUUCUGACUCUACAAGUGAUUGCCCUAGGAAAUACACACAAAGAAAAAAAUGGAUUAAAAGCCUUAAGCUGGGCUAUACUGGGAUAUAAUUCUCAGUAUGGGCCUGGAGGCAAUGAGAGGUGAUGAGGGUAUGUCCUGAGGAAAAUCAGCUUUCCUGUGAGGCAGCUGCCCCAAGAGAGAUCACUUGAAUGGUUGAGAGAUCAACUUGAAUGGUUUUUAUGUGAGGAAAGGCUAGUUUCCUCAGACAAAGCAGGGGGGUUGCUGCCUUCACCAACAAGGAGGAUUCAAGGGGUGUUGGGGUUCAAAGUUCUACCCAAAUGUCCCCAUUCCAUGUCUGGGGGUCCCAUUCCUUCUUACCCAGUGCUGCUCCCUUAGCACAAGAUACUUGGUGGAGUUGCACAUUUCAUUGGCUUUGCAACCCUGGAAACCUGACAGUCAGCGCCUGGGCUUGGUUCUCUGGUAGCCCCUUGGCUACCAAAGAGCAGAUUCCUUCAGAGCCACCCUAGAGGCUUUCUAAACUUCCACCCUUGCACUGAGUCAUGAGUUCAAGGCUUUCAGUCUUUUCUGACCCAGAGCGGAUCCAAUAGAACCACAGACCCAUCCUGUGUCUGUACAUGAACUGGCAGAAUCCCCCUGCUGAUUUCCUGACUCAUGGAGUGAGCUCUUAUCAGAGAAGGGCCCUGAACUGCAACUUCACCACCAUCAGAAUAGCAAACCAAAUGCAAUACUACAUCCCUAAGGAAAUUUCAGAAAUUAGUGCUACCAUCAAAAAUCUGAAAUAUGUAGAGGUUGUCAUUCCUAUCAAGACUCGGUUUAACUCACCUAUUUGGCUGCUACAGAAACCAGUUGGGUCUUGGGAAACGACUAUAGAUUACUGUAAAGUUAAUUAGGUGUGAUGUCAAUUGCAGCUGUGGUUCUAGACAUGAAAUUUUUACUGGAACAAAUCCAUGCAUCUCUUGGUCUGGUGUAAAUCUUUGACCCCAAAUGCUUUCUUUUCUAUUCCACUCGGUACAGAUAAUCAGAAAUAGUUUGCCUUUGUGUAGCGGGGACAGUAGAUAUCUUUACUACCUUGGGGCUUUGCCUACUUUCCUGAUUUCUGUCAUAAUAGAAUGCAAAGGGAUACUGAUUAUCUUGUUAGAGUUCAUAACAUUAUGCUGGCCCAUUAUAUUGAUGACAUUCUGGUAACUGGGCCUAAUGAGCAGGAAAUGGCAAGCACUUUAGAUUCUUGGUAGAACCUACGUAUGCCACAGGAAGGAUGAUAAAUCCCACACAAAUUCAGAGGCAUGUCAUGUCAGUGAGCUUUCUAGGGUAUCCAGUGGUCUGGGGCAUGUCAGGAUCUCUCUUCUAAAAUGAGAGACAAGCUGCUGCCCGCUACAAAGAAAGAGGCAAAAUGUUUGAUGGGACUCUGGAUUUUUGAGGUGACAUAUGCCACAUUUGCCAGUGCUGUUCUACCCAUUUCCUGGAAAACGCAUAAGACUGCAAGUUUUGAGUGAGGCCUGCAGCAACAUAAGACUCUGCAGUGGGUCCAGACUGCAGAGCAAGCUGCCCUGUCACAUGAGCUUUAUGAUUUGGAAGUGACUAGGGCAGAAAAAGAUGCUG